rnacentral:rRNA from 1 species
CCGGCGCCGCCCGCGGGCGGGGCCGGGCGCGGGGCGCCCUGGCCGCGGGGCGCGGGGGCGCGCCGCCGCCGCCCGGGGGGGGGCGCGCCCGCCCGCGGGCGCCCCGCCGCGCGGCCCGGGGGCCCGGGGCCCCGGGAAAGAACCCGGGGGGGUGGCCGUGAGAGGUUGGUUGUCUGCGGCGGCGCCUGGUUCGGGGUGGAGGAUCCGGGAGGGUAGCGGCGGGCGAGCGGGGGUAAGGUUUCGCCGUGGUUGGGAGUAGAAAACUCGGGAAGGUUUCCGUAGGGGUGACCUGCGGAGGGAUCAUUACCGAGUUUACAACUCCCAAACCCAAUGUGAACGUUACCAAACUGUUGCCUCGGCGGGAUCUCUGCCCCGGGUGCGUCGCAGCCCCGGACCAAGGCGCCCGCCGGAGGACCAACCAAAACUCUUAUUGUAUACCCCCUCGCGGGUUUUUUUUAUAAUCUGAGCCUUCUCGGCGCCUCUCGUAGGCGUUUCGAAAAUGAAUCAAAACUUUCAACAACGGAUCUCUUGGUUCUGGCAUCGAUGAAGAACGCAGCGAAAUGCGAUAAGUAAUGUGAAUUGCAGAAUUCAGUGAAUCAUCGAAUCUUUGAACGCACAUUGCGCCCGCCAGUAUUCUGGCGGGCAUGCCUGUCCGAGCGUCAUUUCAACCCUCGAACCCCUCCGGGGGGUCGGCGUUGGGGAUCGGCCCUGCCUUGGCGGUGGCCGUCUCCGAAAUACAGCGGCGGUCUCGCCGCAGCCUCUCCUGCGCAGUAGUUUGCACACUCGCAUCGGGAGCGCGGCGCGUCCACAGCCGUUAAACACCCAACUUCUGAAAUGUGACCUCGAUCAUGUAGAUGCAAGUCCGUUUGCCC